rnacentral:rRNA from 1 species
GACCCGUGAUCCGGGUUGCGGACAGUGUCUGGUGGGUAGUUUGACUGGGGCGGUCUCCUCCUAAAGAGUAACGGAGGAGCACGAAGGUUGGCUAAUCCUGGUCGGACAUCAGGAGGUUAGUGCAAUGGCAUAAGCCAGCUUGACUGCGAGCGUGACGGCGCGAGCAGGUGCGAAAGCAGGUCAUAGUGAUCCGGUGGUUCUGAAUGGAAGGGCCAUCGCUCAACGGAUAAAAGGUACUCCGGGGAUAACAGGCUGAUACCGCCCAAGAGUUCAUAUCGACGGCGGUGUUUGGCACCUCGAUGUCGGCUCAUCACAUCCUGGGGCUGAAGUAGGUCCCAAGGGUAUGGCUGUUCGCCAUUUAAAGUGGUACGCGAGCUGGGUUUAGAACGUCGUGAGACAGUUCGGUCCCUAUCUGCCGUGGGCGCUGGAGAACUGAGGGGGGCUGCUCCUAGUACGAGAGGACCGGAGUGGACGCAUCACUGGUGUUCGGGUUGUCAUGCCAAUGGCACUGCCCGGUAGCUAAAUGCGGAAGAGAUAAGUGCUGAAAGCAUCUAAGCACGAAACUUGCCCCGAGAUGAGUUCUCCCUGACUCCUUGAGAGUCCUGAAGGAACGUUGAAGACGACGACGUUGAUAGGCCGGGUGUGUAAGCGCAGCGAUGCGUUGAGCUAACCGGUACUAAUGAACCGUGAGGCUUAACCUUACAACGCCGAAGCUGUU